rnacentral:misc_RNA from 1 species
AAGGGAGGGUUGGAUUAGAUGUGAUGUGAAUGGUAGGGAGUAGUCGAUCGGUGUGGAAUCCCAGGAUGAUAUUUGUUUCCUACUUCCAGUUUUGAAGCCAUUUCCCUAAAAUUUUCCAGAAAAUUUAACGUACAUAACAUUGGAAGUAACGUUUGUUUCCUACUUCCACUUUUGAAGCCAUUUCCUGUACAUGUUCUUUUUUAGCUUAUAAGUUG